rnacentral:rRNA from 1 species
GUGCUCAGCGCCAUGCCGACCUUCGCCCUCUCAGUGCUGCGGGUUCCACCAAAAUUACUCAAAGAAAUCGAUAAGUGUAGGAGGCAUUUCCUUUGGAAGCAGGAGGAGGAAACAACGGGGGCUAGCUGCAGGGGAAAUUGGCCAACAGUCUGUGCGCCAACUGAGAAGGGAGGGCUUGGCAUCCUGGACCUGCAAAGUUUCAGCCGAGCACUCCGGCUACGCUGGCUAUGGAUUGCUUGGAAAGACCCGGACAGACCAUGGGUUGGCACACCACCGCCAUGCGAUGACGUGGACAGAGCCCUG